AGCAGCAGGAGCAGGAGGAGGAGCGACGCCUGGUUCCCUUGGUUCAAGCUGCACCUGAGGCUUCUGUCGCCACAGCAUCGAUCCAGAGGACGGACGGAUGGACGGAGGACGUCUCAGUUCUGGGAGACACUGUAGGACAGAAGCAGCUCUGCAACGGAGAAGAAAAAUCAAUAUCCUGUCCACCGUCGGAGAAGACGAGUCAUUUGCGCCGUAUGUAGCUGAAUAUCCGAUGACCUCACAGCUGUGCCAGCUACGUUUAUCAGAGCUGGGGGAUGUGGUUCUCUCCUGAUGAUCAACACUGAUUCAACCAAGCAGACAUGAAACGACUGGAUGUGGAGUCAAACAAACUCGCGGUCGUCUGACGAUGAAACACGGACCAGAUGCCGGGUCGCCGAGGCCGAGCGUGGCGUUUUGAUCGGCACGUCUAGAGAGACCUGUGGCGUAAAUGACGAUGCGAAAUGUCAGAUCCGACGUCUGGGAGAGUGAGUGGACGAAAUACAUCGCUGUCGCCCAGGCACGGAGGCAUGAACUGUCGGCACCAGGCGGAGUCCCAGCGGCGGUGGCGCUGUGGUCGUUGGCGACGUGCUGAGUGGAAGACGGAGCUGCGUCGCUCCCCGUCUCAGUCUCUCGCACCUCCCCCUGUGAAGGGUCUCCUCCCAGGGGGCGCCGGUCCUGUCAGAGCCUCUCGAUGUCCCUGUAUUUCUUGCGUAGGAUGGAAACCUGGUCCUUGAACAGGACCGGGUCCAGUCUCAUCUGGGAGUGGACCAGCGGCAUGGCGCCAAACCAGCUGGCGAACUUGUUCAUGCAGGUCUGUCGCUGGGCGAAGUGGUCCGGGUCGGCCCACCGAGAGGCCCGAGAAGACUGCAGGAAGAGGAAGAGGAGAAGAAGAUUGGAUCAGUCGACAGGGUCACGUGAUGGUUCACCACGUGGGCUGCGGACUUCGGACUUCUUACCUGACCCAUCAUCGUCUCCUUGUACUGUUUCUUCUGCGUGACCUUGAUGGGCGGCAGCUUGGUGACAGCGGAGACCAGGAAGUUCAUGAGGAUGUCCUCACAGUUGGCCAGCUGGUCCACCAUGUUCUUCAGACUGCUGGGCAGGAAGUGGGUGUAGAGGUGAUGGUAGUACCUGCAGGGGGAGACAAACCAGAGGUCAGAGGUGGAAGAAGAACCUGGGACUUGUUUUUUUCUUUUCACUUGUGUCUUUUCUCUGUCAUCCAGGUCGUCAUGACGACGUCAAGAG